AGUGGAUGGGGAACAACCUAGUUGUGCGUGUGUAAAGGUAGUGCCAAGAAAAGCGGUGAUCAUGAUGAAAAUCAAUUCCCGGUACCCGAAACCGACACAGGUGGGCAAGUAGAGAAUACUAAGGGGCGCGAGGUAACUCUCUCCAAGGAACUCGGCAAAAUGACCCCGUAACUUAGGGAGAAGGGGUGCCACCGAGAGGUGGUCGCAGUGGAGAGGCCCAGGCGACUGUUUAGCAAAAACAUAGGUCUCUGCAAACUCGAAAGAGGAGGUAUAGGGGCUGACGCCUGCCCAGUGCCGGAAGGUUAAAGAAGUUGGUCAGUCUUAGGAUGAAGCUAGCGACUGAAGCCCCGGUGAACGGCGGCCGUAACUAUAACGGUCCUAGGUAGCGAAAUUCCUUGUCGGGUAAGUUCCGACCCGCACGAAAGGCGUAACGAUCUGGGCGCUGUCUCGGAGAGAGGCUCGGCGAAAUAGGAUUGUCUGUGAAGAUACGGACUACCUGCAUUUGGACAGAAAGACCCUAUGAAGCUUUACUAUAGCUUGGAAUUGUGUUCGGGCUUCCUGUGCGCAGGAUAGGUGGGAGGCGUAGAAGGUAUUCUUGUGGGGAUACUGGAGCCAACGGUGAGAUACCACUCUCAGGAGGCUAGAAUUCUAACUUAAUUAAGGACAGUUUCAGGUGGGUAGUUUGACUGGGGCGGUCGCCUCCAAAAAGGUAACGGAGGCGUACAAAGGUUCCCUCAGACUGGUUGGAAAUCAGUCGCAGAGUGCAAAGGCAGAAGGGAGCUUGACUGCGAGAAGUACAGUUCGAGCAGGGUGGAAACACGGUCUUAGUGAUCCGACGGUGCUGUGUGGAAGGGCCGUCGCUCAACGGAUAAAAGUUACUCUAGGAUAACAGGCUGAUCUCCCCCAAGAGUUCACAUCGACGGGGAGGUUUGCACCUCGAUGUCGGCUCAUCGCAACCUGGGGCGGAAGUACGUCCCAAGGGUUGGGCUGUUCGCCCAUUAAAGCGGUACGUUAGCUGGGUUCAGAACGUCGUGAGACAGUUCGGUCCAUAUCCGAUGUAGGCGUGAGAAUAUUGAGAGGAGCCUUCCUUAGUACGAGAGGACCGGGAAGGACGCACCGCUGGUGUACCUGUUAUGAUGCCAAUUGUAAACGCAGGGUAGCCAAGUGCGGAGAGGAUAACCGCUGAAAGCAUCUAAGUGGGAAGCCCACCUCAAGAUGAGUAUUCUGGUGUAAGGUCACGGGAAGACGACCCGUAAAUAGGCACGAGGUGGAAGUGCAGAGAUGUAUGAAGCCGAAGUGUACUAAUAGACCGUCGGCUUGACCG
rnacentral:rRNA from 1 species